UAUGUUUGACAUCCCUGGUUUAAACAUUUCCGUUGUUAAGUGUUUAAAAAGAGGAAAAUAAAACUCAGUAUAAUUAAUAACGAGUCCCUGGAAAAACAGUAUUGCUUAAAUAAGCAUGAAUUGGGAAACUCCAGACAAUCGACUCAAAAUCCUCUCCCGACGUAAAUAACAUUUCCUCUGGAUUAAUCAGCCUCCUCUCUACAUGAUCCUCUAUGAAUGAACAUGUCAUUUUGGUUUCUGCGUGGUGAAAACGUGACGUCUCUAAUGAGAAUGUUCUCUAAAUUUUAAUGAGGAACUCAUAUUUGAACAUCUUUCACUUUAAGAAGGGGCGGAGACUGCAGGAACUCAAAUAUGGGGUAAGAUAACUGUCAAAAGGAAACGUAUUCAUAAAUACCUAUUUUGUAUUCACAAAAAGAAAUUCAUAUUCAUAAAUACCUAUUUUGUAUAAACAAAAAGAAAUUCAUAUUCAUAAAUACAAAGUUGUGCAAAAUUUUAUAUUUUGUGCCAAACUUACUUUAAAAAAAUGAAUACAACAUUUAUUUUUACGUUUAACAUGUCUCUUGUGAAUACGAAUUUUCCUCGUUUUGAAUACGACUUCUCUCUGUCUUGGAUACGGAUUUCUCCUGUUACCUAACUGUCAAAACUACGUCACGGGGUCACAGGCUUAUGCAUCGAGUGCCGGAACAUCGAGCCGCCGAGCCAGCAAACGACGCAUGCGCACUGCAGCUUAGCGCUCAUUCUCUUUUUUAUGUGCAAAAAUGGCGGAAAAAGACGGCUCGGUCGUGGAGCGACAAAGCGAGUUAGCAGACAUAGUCAGUACGGCACACAAUUUAGUGUCUUUGCUAAGGAGCAGGUUAAGACAGGGAAAUCCAGUUGAGCCUGCUGAGGGACAGGGAGCCCAGGGAGAGACAUCCAGGCAGAUUGAGCCCGUUGGCCAUGGGCCUCGGGGCAUUUCACCAGGACAGUCGAUCCAUCAAGAGAUGGCUAGAUCUUUGCCUGGACUUUUCCGCAGAGAAGGAAAAGGCAAAAGACGGUUUGCACCAUAUGCAAACCGUCAAAAGAGUUUUUUUGUGACCUUCUUCCUUCUUGAUAAGCAGCGUUUUAAAACGCUGAAAGGAGAUGAGGAACUUGCCCUCACGCUGGCUGGUCUGGGAAAACGCUCUCUGACGGUGUCUGAAAGCACCACACAUUCUGAGUUGACAGAGCUGCUUAUAAAGGCAUAUCCGAAGCUUGGAAGUAUUUGUGGAGGCUGGUUGCUCCACAAGUCUACAGGUGGGGGUGGACAACGAAAACUAGUUGUCAUCCCUCCUGACUCGGAUGGGUACAAUGGGCAGCAGCUCAAGGGAGUGAGUGGUAGUGGGAAAUGUACUCUGUACAUUGCUCCUUUACAAGAGCAAAUUGACACCACUCCAUUACCACCAGAGGCAAAAGAAUUUGAAAGCAUGCCCAAAGCUCUGUGUACCACGUGUGGAAAGAUGAUUCCACUUCAGGUCCUUCCCCUCCACAUAAAGAACUGCAAGGAGGAAAAUCUGUGUUCUUCCUCAGAGGAAAGUAGAAAUCAGGAUCACAUAUUUCCAAGCUGCCAUGAGGAUGUGACAGAGACGACUGCUCAGUGUCCAGUUUGCAGUGGUUCCUUCAACAUUGACAUCAUUGAGAGUCAUGCAUCUGAAUGUGGUCUAAGAACAAGUCAUGCAGCCAGUGAAACCAGUUCAAAGAACUCGGACCUUUCUUUCAAAUGUAUGGAGGAAAUCCUCAGCUGGAUAGGUGAUCAAGUCAAGGAAGACGACACAUUCUCCAUCUGUGUGUCCAGAAGUGACCUUUUUGACAGAGGAAUGCAACAGUGGCAGCGCCAAAAAAAAUCCUCUCCAAAAAACAAACUCAAAGUGUCUUUCUUUGGGGAAACGGGUUUAGACACAAGGGUUCUCACCAAAGAAUUUCUUACAGAAAUGGUUGCCGAGAUUGAAAAAAGGCUUUUCAUGGGUGGCAUGGACAAAAAUGGAAAAAUCCUCGCUACUGCAUCAACCAUCUGGACCAAAACUACUUCAGGAGUGCUGGAGAAAUUCUAGCAGCUAGUGUUUCACAAGGAGGACCUCUUCCCAACUUCAUGAGAGAUUGGUGCUACAGAUACCUGUGCUCUGGGGACCCAGACACCAUUCAGGUGUCGAUCAGUGAUGUCACAGAUCCGGAGUUGUCGCAGCUCAUUAUGGAGGUAAAUGGAUCCACGGAUGAAAAUAUUAAAGACAAGACUGAUGACAUCAUUAGUUGUGGAUACGUUGGGACGGUCUCUGUGGACAAAAAGGACCUCAUAAUCAGAGCUAUUGUGCUGCACUCAACCAUGAGAGUCCUUCCCAUGCUUGAUCAGCUGAGAAAAGGCCUGCAUCUUUUCAACCUGGUGCAACUGAUGGAAAGAAAUCCAGAACUUUGUCAGCCCAUGUUCGUUCCUGGGAAUGUUGAUCGUGUUGAUGCAGCCUCUGUGCUGGAAAAGUGCCAACCGGACUUCUGUGACAAAAACUCUGUGAAGUUUGCUAGAGAAGUGCAUGUCAUGAACUUCUUCCAGGAUUUUUUACAAGAAAUUGAAGAUUGUGAAAUGGAUGGCCAGUCUGAUGAUGAUUCACAGCAGCUGUCACUUGCCAAAGUGAUGCAGUGGAUGACGGGACAGGGACACAAGCCUGUUCUACCCAGCGAGAAGAAAGACUUUGUCAUCUUUGUAAAAUUUCUUCACGGCUGUGGUGAAGAUCACACCACAUGUUAUCCCACUGUAAGUGCCUGUAGUCGAACAAUAACAUUUCCAGUUGCUCACUUAACCACUUACAAGGAAUUCAAGAACAUAAUGGAAACCGCAAUAUGCCACGGACAAGGCUUUUAUAGGAUUUAAAGUAGUUCCAAUGUUUAACCUAAGAUCUUCUUUUGUUCUUUCUUAAAAUACAUUUUACAUGCUUUUGGAAGGUAUUUACAUAUUUUAGUAAUGUAAUCCUUUACUUUAAUAAAAUGGGUGCAGUGAUCUUUAAGGAAGCCAUUUUGAUAAUUUUCUUGCGAAAACGAGAUGAUCAUUAGCAAAGAAUGAAGCGUCCCCCUCUCCCUUUCACACACAAAGAUGCAGAGACUCCUCAAAAGUUGUUUUUUAUUCUAAUUUUAUUAUUUUAUUAGUGGGUCUAUGCUCUUUAAAUGUGUUCACUCCGUUCCAUGCACCAGCCCUUGUCCCUUUAAUUCCCUCAAACCUUUGAGCAAACAGGCUGAUUGACAGAAUUUGAUGAGAAUCUGUUCAUGGUGUGUUCACUGAACUCCAGACAUUACCCAAACAGCCACUCAGCCCAUCUCAGUAGGCUAUUAUGCAUUUUUUUUUUUUUUACAAUCCACAGCAAAACAAAACAGUUUUUCAGUAAAAAUGUCCACCCUGUUAAAUCAAUAAUGAUAUAUGGAUCAGUACUGGUGUUUGACAUUUUCUAUGUUAAACUGCUUUACUUUGCAGCUGAUGUCUGGAGCUCCGUGAGUGCACCAUGCAGAAACACCUUGGGUUCUCAAUCAACCUGUUUGUUCAGGCUUUUUUUUUAAAAAACAGAGGGGGUUGUUGUUUGAGAUGGAAUAAGGAUGUUUAAAGAGCUUAGAUCUACUAACUAAUAAAAAUAGACUAAAAACAACUUUUCAAAAGUGUUUUCUUCUUCUGUUUUUGUUAAACACAAACUAAAAAGACUUAAACAGGUGAAGUCUCAGUGUCUCCAUUAGGGAAAGGUAGAGGGGGACGCUUCAUUCUUUUUUCUAGAUUAUCUUCAUAAUGAGAAAACUAUUUUUAAAAAAAAAAGUUUGACAGCCCUUUUUUGGCUUCCGUAGAUGUUUCCAAUAUAUAUUUGUUUAGCAUUUUAGGCAUUUUCAAAUGGUAGCACCACAGUACAUUACAUUUUUGUUAGAGUAGUUCUAAGCCCGCUUAUCUAAUGAAUGUUCAACAACUGUAUAAUUACCUUGAAUGUUUGUUCCUUCUUGGGCAAAAUAAAUGUUUACAGACA